CCCCUCUUAGGGUCGCACCUAGAGAGCUUCCAGGACUCUACCAGUCUCGACUAGGGGAGGGAGAGUCAAGCACAGGCAUAUCCAUUCCAUUCCUAGCUUGUCCAGUGGCUAGUGAAUGGAAGGCAAUCUGCUACAGUC